UACGUAGGGUGCGAGCGUUGUCCGGAAUUAUUGGGCGUAAAGGGCUCGUAGGCGGUUUGUCGCGUCGGGAGUGAAAACCAUGGGCUUAACUCAUGGCUUGCUUCCGAUACGGGCAGACUAGAGGCAUGCAGGGGAGAACGGAAUUCCUGGUAUAGCGGUGAAAUGCGCAGAUAUCAGGAGGAACACCGGUGGCGAAGGCGGUUCUCUGGGCAUGUCCUGACGCUGAGGAGCGAAAGUGUGGGGAGCGAACAGG
rnacentral:rRNA from 1 species